rnacentral:rRNA from 1 species
CAGCCGCCGCGGUAAUACCAGCUCUCCGAGUGGUGUGGACGUUUAUUGGGCCUAAAGCAUCCGUAGCUGGCUGAACAAGUCCCCUGUUAAACCCACCGAAUUAAUCGUUGGCUUGCGGGGGAAACUGCUCGGCUAGGGGACGAGAGAGGCAGACGGUAUUUCCGGGGUAGGGGUGAAAUCCUAUAAUCCCGGGAAGACCACCAGUGGCGAAGGCUGUCUGCUAGAACGCGCCCGACGGUCAGGGAUGAAAGCUGGGGCAGCGAACCGGAUUAGAUACCCGGGUAGUCCCAGCUGUAAACGAUACUAGCUAGGUGUUGGGUCGGCCACGCGCCGCCCCAGUGCCGCAGGGAAGCCGUUAAGCUAGCCGCCUGGGGAGUACGGCCGCAAGGCUGAAACUUAAAGGAAUUGGCGGGGGAGCAC